rnacentral:rRNA from 1 species
GCAGUCGACGCUGAAGCCUGGUGCUUGCACCGGGUGGAUGAGUGGCGAACGGGUGAGUAACACGUGAGUAACCUGCCCCUGACUUCGGGAUAAGCCCGGGAAACUGGGUCUAAUACCGGAUACGACUGCCGGACGCAUGUCUGGUGGUGGAAAGUUUUUUCGGUUGGGGAUGGGCUCGCGGCCUAUCAGUUUGUUGGUGAGGUAAUGGCUCACCAAGACGACGACGGGUAGCCGGCCUGAGAGGGCGACCGGCCACACUGGGACUGAGACACGGCCCAGACUCCUACGGGAGGCAGCAGUGGGGAAUAUUGCACAAUGGGGGAAACCCUGAUGCAGCGACGCAGCGUGCGGGAUGACGGCCUUCGGGUUGUAAACCGCUUUCAGCAGGGAAGAAGCGCAAGUGACGGUACCUGCAGAAGAAGUACCGGCUAACUACGUGCCAGCAGCCGCGGUAAUACGUAGGGUACGAGCGUUGUCCGGAAUUAUUGGGCGUAAAGAGCUCGUAGGUGGUUGGUCACGUCUGCUGUGGAAACGCAACGCUUAACGUUGCGCGUGCAGUGGGUACGGGCUGACUAGAGUGCAGUAGGGGAGUCUGGAAUUCCUGGUGUAGCGGUGAAAUGCGCAGAUAUCAGGAGGAACACCGGUGGCGAAGGCGGGACUCUGGGCUGUAACUGACACUGAGGAGCGAAAGCAUGGGGAGCGAACAGGAUUAGAUACCCUGGUAGUCCAUGCCGUAAACGUUGGGCACUAGGUGUGGGGGGCAUUCCACGUUCUCCGCGCCGUAGCUAACGCAUUAAGUGCCCCGCCUGGGGGAGUACGGUCGCAAGGCUAAAACUCAAAGGAAUUGACGGGGGCCCGCACAAGCGGCGGAGCAUGCGGAUUAAUUCGAUGCAACGCGAAGAACCUUACCAAGGCUUGACAUACACCGGACCGUCCUGGAAACAGGUCCUCUUCUUUGAAGCUGGUGUACAGGUGGGGGCAUGGUUGUCGUCAGCUCGUGUCGUGAGAAAGUUUGGGGUUAAGUCCCGCAACGAGCGCAAC